rnacentral:rRNA from 1 species
CCACCAGACUCCUACGGGAGGCAGCAGUGAGGAAUAUUGGUCAAUGGGCGGGAGCCUGAACCAGCCAAGUCGCGUGAGGGAAGACGGCCCUACGGGUUGUAAACCUCUUUUGCCGGGGAGCAAGCCUGAGCACGUGUGCCCAGGCGGAGAGUACCCGGAGAAAAAGCAUCGGCUAACUCCGUGCCAGCAGCCGCGGUAAUACGGAGGAUGCGAGCGUUAUCCGGAUUUAUUGGGUUUAAAGGGUGCGUAGGCGGAGUGUCAAGUCAGCGGUAAAAUUUCGGGGCUCAACCCCGUCGUGCCGUUGAAACUGACGCCCUUGAGUGAGUGAGAAGUAAGCGGAAUGCGUGGUGUAGCGGUGAAAUGCAUAGAUAUCACGCAGAACGCCGAUUGCGAAGGCAGCUUACCGGCGCUCAACUGACGCUGAGGCACGAAAGUGCGGGUAUCGAACAGGAUUAGAUACCCCAGUAGCC